GUACUUGUUUCCCCUCUUUUCCAGUCUUUUCGUUCUCCGAAACCCUAAUCGGAAAACCCUACCCUUUUCUGCACCGCCAUGGCCAAGAAGCGGAAGAGCCGAGCUUCAUACCAGCCCGAAAUCGAACCAGAACCGACCCAAAUUCAAGAGCCGGAGCAGCCCCAACCCGAGCCUGACCCCCAACUGGAAGCACCCAAUGAAGAACCAGAACAAGAGGUAGAAGAAGAAGUAGAAGAAGAAGAAGUGGAAGAGGUAGAGGAAGAGGAAGUAGAAGAAGCGGAUCCAGAAGAAGAGGAAGAGGAAGAGGAAGAGGGCGAAGAAGAGGAGAAGCCGGAAAGUAUGGAAGCAGAUGUUUCGAAAAGCGAUGCAAACCCGUCAAACGAUGCCGUUUCAACUGGAAAAGCUAACGGCGAGGAGAAGAAGGCUGAGGUGGAGGAAUUCGACGAUGAGCCACUCGAGAAGGUUCUGGAACCAUUCUCGAAGGAACAGCUUCAAGUCAUAAUUCAGGAGGCCGUGACCAAACACCCAGAUUUCAUGGAAAAUAUUAGGAAUUGGGCCGAUAAAGAUCCAGCACACCGGAAAAUUUUCGUGCACGGUCUUGGUUGGGAUACAACAACUGAAACCCUAACCAAUGUCUUUGGGAAAUAUGGGGAGAUUGAGGAUUGCAAGGCCGUUACCGAUAAGGUCUCAGGGAAGUCUAAAGGUUACGCCUUUAUACUUUUCAAGCACCGGAGUGGAGCCAGGAAAGCUUUGAAAGAGCCCCAGAAGAAGAUUGGGAAUCGGAUUACCUCAUGCCAGCUGGCUUCAGCUGGGCCUGUGCCAGCCCCUCCUCCAAACCCCCCUCCUGUUUCAGAGUAUACCCAGAGGAAGAUUUUUGUUAGCAAUGUUUCAGCAGACUUGGACCCCAAGAAGUUGCUUGAGUUCUUUUCCAAAUAUGGUGAGAUUGAGGAAGGACCUCUGGGGUUGGACAAGCAUACAGGGAAACCAAAAGGUUUCUGUUUGUUUGUUUACAGGUCUGUUGAGAGUGCAAAGAAGGUGCUAGAGGAGCCUCAUAAGAUUUUUGAGGGGCAUACACUGAAUUGCCAGAAGGCAAUUGAUGGGCCAAAGCAGAAUAAGAAUUAUUCACAGCAGCAACAACAUCAGCCACAUUAUCCCCAACAUCAGCAACAUCAUUAUUAUCAGCACACAGCUAAGAAGGGGAAAUAUUCUUCUGGUGGUGGUGGUGGAAGUGGAGCUACUUCAGCAGGACAUUUGAUGGCUCCAGCUGCAGGGCCUGGAGCUGUUGGGUUCAAUCCAGCUGUGGCCCCUGUUCUUGGACAGGCACUCACUGCAUUGCUUACAACACAAGGAGCUGGACUAGGGAUUGGUAAUCUGCUUGGAGGACUUCCUGUGAAUCCUCAUGGGGUUCCACCUGUGGUGAACAAUGCACCGGGAUAUGGGGCUCAGAGUGCCCCAGGAGGCUAUGGAGGUCAUCCAGGAAUGCAGGGAGGCUAUCAGAACCCAGCUAUGGGGCAGGGAGGAGUGAGGCCACAAGGUGGUGCCCCCUGGCGUGGUCAUUAGGCCUGGCAGAAGUUAUUUCCAACUGACCAUGCUGCCAUGGAAUGCCCUACUAAGAUUCCUUCAUAAAUGCAUCAAUCUUUUUGUUUUGGACUGGUGAUUCUUCUGAAGUUCCAGAAUCAAAUGCAAAUGUCGUAUUUUUAUUGUAGCAAAAAGUUACUGUUUGUUUAAAGACUGGAAUCUUGAAUAUGUAUCUUUCUGUUUUCUUCAAACACUUUCGAUCUAGCAGUUGUUUUCUAAAACUAUGGCAAUGACUAUGGUCUAUGUAGCAUUUUGAUUUCAGUACUUUUCUGUCUAAAAUGAUCUGAGAAGCUGGUAGGGUUUCCUUAUCAAUCUCUCUCCGGAAAUUUAGUUUGGUGGUUUUGCAAUCGUUUUCAACAUGAAGCUAUUAAUAUUUCUUUUUAA